rnacentral:rRNA from 1 species
AUUGAACGCUGGCGGCAGGCCUAACACAUGCAAGUCGAACGAGUGGCGGACGGGUGAGUAAUGUCUGGGAAACUGCCUGAUGGAUGGGGAUAACUACUGGAAACGGUAGCUAAUACCGCAUACCAUCGGAUGUGCCCCGAUGGGAUUAGCUAGUAGGUGGGGUAACGGCUCACCUAGGCGACGAUCCCUAGCUGGUAUGAGAGGAUGACAAGCAACACGGGAACUGAGACACGGUACAGACUCCUAGGGGAGGCAGGAGGGGGGAAUAUUGCACAAUGGGCGAAAGCCUGAUGCAGCCAUGCCGAGUGUAUGAAGAAGGCCUUCGGGUUGUAAAGUACUUUCAGCGGGGAGGCGUGACCCGCAGAAGAAGCACCGGCUAACUCCGUGCCAGCAGCCGCGGUAAUAC